UCAGGAUCUGGAGCAAAGAGUUUUAUAGUUAUUUUGGGGAGCACCCACUGCAUCCACAGACUAAUACGUCCACUGGAUCCACCAAUGUUACUUGUAGUUUGUUCCAAGUUACGAUGUCCAUAUAUGUCAUUCCAGUCUCCUCUAAGACAGCUGUUAAGUGGUUUGGAGAAAAAGAAAUCCUGGUUUGGAGCUGAAUAGCUUCCCCAAAUGCAGGAAGACAUGGUGACAGGUAUAGUGAUCACUCAC